UGCCCAGCAACUCCUAUCCCUACCUCCUCGUGGUACUGGCCGGGGUACGAGUAACCUUGGGGAAGAUCGGGUAACCAACCCCGGUGGGAACUUUGGUCGUAUGCUGACAGGGAAGG
rnacentral:ribozyme from 1 species